rnacentral:rRNA from 1 species
UACGUAGGGUGCAAGCGUUGUCCGGAAUUAUUGGGCGUAAAGAGCGUGUAGGCGGCCAGGUAGGUCUGCUGUGAAAACUCGAGGCUCAACCUCGAGCUGUCGGUGGAAACCAUCUGGCUAGAGUCCGGAAGAGGAGAAUGGAAUUCCUGGUGUAGCGGUGAAAUGCGCAGAUAUCAGGAAGAACACCCGUGGCGAAGGCGGUUCUCUGGGACGGUACUGACGCUGAGACGCGAAAGCGUGGGGAGCAAACAGG